AGAGUUUGAUCAUGGCUCAGGGUGAACGCUGGCGCGUGCUUGACACAUGCAAGUCGAACGGUAUGUGGCAACACAUAGAGUGGCGAACGGGUGAGUAACACGUGGGAACGUAUCUUUUGCAGGGGGAUAACUGACCGAAAGGACAGCUAAUACCGCAUAAGUCCGAGAGGAGAAAGGUGCAACAGCAUCGGCAGAAGAGCGGCCCGCGGUCCAUCAGCUAGUUGGUGAGGUAAGGGCUUACCAAGGCGACGACGGAUAGCCGGCGUGAGAGCGUGGCCGGCCACAAGGACACUGAGAUACGGGUCCUACUCCUACGGGAGGCAGCAGUGCGGAAUUUUAGAUAAUGGAGGGAACUCUGAUCUAGCGACGCCGCGUGCAGGAAGAAGGUCUUCGGAUUGUAAACUGCUGUGGUAAGGGAAAAAUGCUAUGUAGAGUGGAAAGCUACAUAGAGGGAUGGUACCUUACUAGAAAGCCCCGGCUAACUACGUGCCAGCAGCCGCGGUAAUACGUAGGGGGCGAGCGUUACCCGGAAUCACUGGGCGUAAAGGGAGCGUAGGUGGCCUAACAUGUCAACUGUGAAAACCCGGAGCUCAACUCCGGACUUGCAGUUGAAACUGGUAGGCUUGAGGACGGUAGAGGAAGACGGAACUGCCAGUGUAGGGGUAAAAUCCUUAGAUAUUGGCAGGAACGCCGGUGACGAAGGUGGUUUUCUGGGCCGGUUCUGACACUGAUGCUCGAAAGCCAGGGGAGCGAACGGGAUUAGAUACCCCGGUAGUCCUGGCCCUAAACGAUGUUCACUAGGUGUGGGGAGCGGAAAGCUCUCCGUGCUAAAGCUAACGCGAUAAGUGAACCGCCUGGGGAGUACGCCCGCAAGGGUGAAACUCAAAUGAAUUGACGG
rnacentral:rRNA from 1 species